rnacentral:rRNA from 1 species
AUUGAACGCUGGCGGCAGGCCUAACACAUGCAAGUCGAGCGGAUGAAGGGAGCUUGCUCCUGGAUUCAGCGGCGGACGGGUGAGUAAUGCCUAGGAAUCUGCCUGGUAGUGGGGGAUAACGUCCGGAAACGGGCGCUAAUACCGCAUACGUCCUGAGGGAGAAAGUGGGGAUCUUCGGACCUCACGCUAUCAGAUGAGCCUAGGUCGGAUUAGCUAGUUGGUGGGGUAAAGGCCUACCAAGGCGACGAUCCGUAACUGGCCUGAGAGGAUGAUCAGUCACACUGGAACUGAGACACGGUCCAGACUCCUACGGGAGGCAGCAGUGGGGAAUAUUGGACAAUGGGCGAAAGCCUGAUCCAGCCAUGCCGCGUGUGUGAAGAAGGUCUUCGGAUUGUAAAGCACUUUAAGUUGGGAGGAAGGGCAGUAAGUUAAUACCUUGCUGUUUUGACGUUACCAACAGAAUAAGCACCGGCUAACUUCGUG